rnacentral:rRNA from 1 species
UACGUAGGGGGCAAGCGUUGUCCGGAUUCAUUGGGCGUAAAGAGCUCGUAGGCGGCUUAGAAAGUCGGUCGUGAAAUGCCGAGGCUCAACCUCGGAAUGCCGAUCGAAACUUCUAUGGCUAGGGUCCGGUAGAGGAGAACGGAAUUCUCGGUGUAGCGGUGAAAUGCGCAGAUAUCGAGAGGAACACCAGUAGCGAAGGCGGUUCUCUGGGCCGGUACCGACGCUGAGGAGCGAAAGCGUGGGGAGCGAACAGG